rnacentral:rRNA from 1 species
GGCCUUUUGAUUAUGAUUUAAGGUCUUGCCUGCCCAAUGAUGUAACAAGUUAAAUGGCCGCAGUAUCCUGACUGUGCAAAGGUAGCAUAAUCAUUAGUUUUUUAAUUGAAAGCUGGUAUGAAAGGUUUGAUGAAAGAGAAGCUGUCUCUAUUUAAAAUUUUAGAAAUUUAUUUUUAAGUAAAAAAGCUUAAAUUUAUAUUGAAGACGAGAAGACCCUGUAGAGUUUUAUUUAUAUAGUAAUAAAUAAAAUUUAGUAUUUAAGAUUUUAAUUUUAUAUAAAUUUAGUUGGGGUGAUUGAAAAAUUUGUUAAACUUUUUUUGUAUAAUUACAUUAAUUUAUGAGUUUAUGAUUCUUAAUAAAGAUUAAAAGAUAAAAUUACCUCAGGGAUAACAGCGUAAUUUUUUUUAGAGUUCUUAUCGAAUAAAAAGAUUGCGACCUCGAUGUUGGAUUAAAAUUUAAUUUUUGGUGUAGAAGCUAAAAAAUUAGGUCUGUUCGACCUUUAGAUUUUUACAUGAUCUGAGUUUAAACCGGUGUAAG